GAUUGCAGUCUGCAACUCGACUGCAUGAAGUCGGAAUCGCUAGUAAUCGCGGAUCAGCAUGCCGCGGUGAAUACGUUCCCGGGCCUUGUACACACCGCCCGUCACACCAUGAGAGUCGGGAACACCCGAAGUCCGUAGCCUAACCGCAAGGAGGGCGCGGCCGAAGGUGGGUUCGAUAAUUGGGGUGAAGUCGUAACAAGGUAUC
rnacentral:rRNA from 1 species